GACGAACCGUGCGAACGUUGUUCGGAAUAACUGGGCUUAAAGGGUGCGUAGGCGGGUCCGCCAGUCUGUGGUGAAAUCCUCCCGCUCAACGGGAGAACUGCCGUGGAUACUGCGGACCUCGAGGAAGAUAGGGGCGUGCGGAACAGUUGGUGGAGCGGUGAAAUGCGUUGAUAUCAACUGGAACUCCGGUGGCGAAGGCGGCACGCUGGGUCUUUUCUGACGCUGAGGUACGAAAGCUAGGGGAGCGAAUGGG
rnacentral:rRNA from 1 species